CCUACGGGAGGCAGCAGUGGGGAAUUUUGGACAAUGGGCGCAAGCCUGAUCCAGCAAUGCCGCGUGAGUGAAGAAGGCCUUCGGGUUGUAAAGCUCUUUUGUCAGGGAAGAAACGGUGGAGGCUAAUAUCCUUUGCUAAUGACGGUACCUGAAGAAUAAGCACCGGCUAACUACGUGCCAGCAGCCGCGGUAAUACGUAGGGUGCAAGCGUUAAUCGGAAUUACUGGGCGUAAAGCGUGCGCAGGCGGUUUUGUAAGUUUGUCGUGAAAUCCCCGGGCUCAACCUGGGAAUGGCGAUGAAGACUGCAAGGCUAGAAUCUGGCAGAGGGGGGUAGAAUUCCACGUGUAGCAGUGAAAUGCGUAGAGAUGUGGAGGAACACCGAUGGCGAAGGCAGCCCCCUGGGUCAAGAUUGACGCUCAUGCACGAAAGCGUGGGGAGCAAACAGGAUUAGAUACCCUGGUAGUCCACGCCCUAAACGAUGUCUACUAGUUGUCGGGUUUUAAUUAACUUGGUAACGCAGCUAACGCGUGAAGUAGACCGCCUGGGGAGUACGGUCGCAAGAUUAAAACUUAAAGGAAUUGACGG
rnacentral:rRNA from 1 species